rnacentral:rRNA from 1 species
AGAGUUUGAUCAUGGCUCAGAACGAACGCUGGCGGCAGGCUUCAUACAUGCAAGUCGAACGAUUAAAGCCCCUUCGGGGGUGUAUAAAGUGGCGAACGGGUGAGUAACAGGUGGAUAAUCUACCUCUCAGUGGGGAAUAACAGUUGGAAACGGCUGCUAAUACCGCAUGCGAUUGCAACGUCCUCGGGCGAUGCAAGGAAAGGGCCUUUUGGCUCGCUGAGAGAUGAGUCCGCCCCCCAUUAGGUAGUUGGUGUGAUAAAAGCGCACCAAGCCAACGAUGGGUAGCCGGACUGAGAGGUUGGCCGGCCACACUGGAACUGAGACACGGUCCAGACACCUACGGGUGGCAGCAGUAGGGAAUAUUGCGCAAUGAACGAAAGUUUGACGCAGCCAUGCCGCGUGGAUGAUGAAGGCCUUCGGGUCGUAAAGUCCUUUUAUCAGGGAGGAACAAGCAGAGGAGUAAAAAGCCUUUGCCCUGACGGUACCUGAUGAAUAAGCAACGGCUAACUCCGUGCCAGCAGCCGCGGUAAUACGGAGGUUGCAAGCGUUGUUCGGAAUUACUGGGCGUAAAGGGAGCGCAGGCGGCCUGGCCAGUUUGAAGUGAAAGUUCGGGGCUCAACCCCGGAUCUGCUUUGAAUACUGCCAGGCUUGAGUACGUGAGAGGUAGGUGGAAUUCAGGGUGUAGCGGUGGAAUG